rnacentral:rRNA from 1 species
GAUGAACGCUAGCGGCAGGCCUAAUACAUGCAAGUCGGACGGGAUUCAGGAGCUUGCUUCUGAUGAGAGUGGCGCACGGGUGCGUAACACGUAUGUAACCUACCUUUAUCAGGGGGAUAGCCUCUCGAAAGAGAGAUUAAGCCCGCAUAAAAUCACAGCACAGCAUUGUGUAAUGAUCAAAUAUUUAUAGGAUAAAGAUGGGCAUGCGGAACAUUAGCUAGAUGGCGGGGUAACGGCCCACCAUGGCGACGAUGUUUAGGGGAUCUGAGAGGAUGGCCCCCCACACUGGUACUGAGACACGGACCAGACUCCUACGGGAGGCAGCAGUAAGGAAUAUUGGGCAAUGGGCGGAAGCCUGAACCAGCCAUGCCGCGUGCAGGAAGACGGCGCUACGGGUUGUAAACUGCUUUUAUACGGGAAUAAACCCAGAUACGUGUAUCUGGCUGAAUGUACUGUAAGAAUAAGGAUCGGCUAACUCCGUG